AGUGCCAAUAUUGCGAUACAGAGAAAGAGAGAGAGGGAAAAAGGGGAAAAACCUACUCUCUUCACGUCAGUCUUCUUAACUUUUUUUCUCUCUAAAAAAAACCCUAGCCAUACUACGAUAGAGGCGAUCUCUUCACAUCAAACUCCGCUAGGAGAAAAGAAAAGAAAAAAAAAAAAAAAAAAGACUUGCGCCACACUGGAGAUUGGAUUGAUCAUCGCUAUCCCCUUUUGAGUUUUCCAGACUCUGCGAACCAGUGGAUAUUCGUAUGGCUGGCCAUUGCCAUACCCUGCCGGGCUUAGACCAUCACAAUCGGCAUCCGUCAAAGCUAAAUACGAUACAACGCCCCAUAGGUUUUGAGAUACGGAGUUAGAGAUUGGCGCUAUUCUGAUGAAAGCCAUUUCAAAGUGAACAAUUUGCAAUGUUAAUGGCUAUUCUGGCAUUCUGCAGAACAGGGGAUGUAGAAGUAGGUAUGUAACAUUUAGUUUCCUUUAUCUAAUUCUUUAUUGUUAGCUCACCAAAAACGUAAAUAUACUUUCAAACCAUUAAUAUUGAAACAUCUCAUGCUUUUAUUUUGUUGCUUUGUUGAGAAACUGUAAUAGGCAGUACAGUCAUUAUUGAUUUUCUUACUCCCUGAAGAAAUAUCUUCUAAGAAUGGGCCACAACUUUACUUGCAAUGUUAACGCUGAUUAGUGUUUGAGUGUCUUAUAUGGCACACUUUGUACUUCUUUCUAUUUGUUUAUUGGUCUUCUAUUAUUUCUGUUAAUUGUUUCUUCAAACUUAUCUUAUUUUAAAAUGUUAUUUUAUUUCAUAUUUUUAGUGCAUAUUGGCAUGACCAGCAUGAAGAUUUAUUGAGUUUUUUUUAAUGCCUCUUAUAAGUGUUGAAUAUAGAGGACAAAACAUGGGUAUAAUAAAGUUGUUGGUCACGGAUAAUGUCUAUAUUCCCAUGUAUUUUCUUUUUAAGUUCUUUUUGGCACUUAAAUGUGAAGAGAAAACAAUAGAAGACCAGCAAUUUUUGUUGAACAUUCCACUUGACAAAAUGCAACUAAUCCUAACCAUGAAGAAUAGACUAUCAUUGUACAAAUACAUAUUAUCAUUUCUUAGAGUAUGAGUUUUUGAUGGUUGUAGGUAAUAUUUUGAAUAUUAUAAUCCACCUUUAAUCUUAUGUAAUGAAAAUUAUCAUAAAUAGAGGGGUUAUAUGUCUUUAGUAAACUUUGGUGCUUGGUCUUACUAUAGUUUGACAAUGUACUACUAUUUGAUAGUAGACAUGAUCUAUUAACAAACGAUCCUUAAUUUCCAACCUGUUACUUAAGAUUGCAUUCAGAAAUUGGUCUUACAGUCACCCAUCAAUGUGUUGUAGUCUCUCUUUUGUUUCGGUUUUGCCCUUCCAACAUGUGAAUAAAAUGGUUUUUGGAAAAAUCUUGAUAGAAUUUUGGAGGGUUAAAUUAUAAUGGAAGUAACUACUGCCAUGCUAUUUCCUUUUUUUUU